GGUUUACGUAGACCCUGACGACUACAAAACGCGCCGGAACUUCAGCACAAGCCUCAGUUUAGACCGACGGUGAAAGUGAGGAGUCCUUUCGCGGAAGAAACGUCAUCUCUGUGCACAACAUGGGACUUGAACUCACAUCCUCAAAACCACAGUUGCAUGAUCUACCUACCAACUGAGCCAGCCAGGUGCCCUACCUACAGUACCUACAUGUUUAAGUCAAUCCUGAAUUCAUUGGUAGUUUGCGACACCAGGUGGCUUCACAAAAGAAAAUUAAAUGUUGAAGUAUGCACUCUCCAACUCGGUGAAGAAAAAGCAGUCAUUGCAGAAGAAUGAGCAUGUGAGUUUAUGUACGUUAACACAGCAAGGUCUUCGAGGAGCUUAAAAGAACAGGAGAAGCUGGGCAGCCUGGGUGGCUCAGCGGUUUGGCACUGCCUUCGGCCCAGGGUGUGAUCCUAGAGACCCAGGAUUGAGUCCCACGUCGGGCUCUCUGCAUGAAGCCUGCUUCUCCCUCUGCCUGUGUCUCUGCCUCUCUCUCUCUGUCUCUCUCAUGAAUAAAUAAAUGAAAUCUUAAAAAAGAAAAAGAAAAAAAGAAAAAAAAGAACAAGAGCAGCUUUCCAAAAAAUCAAAGCGACGGACACCUGGGUAGAGGCGACUGGGUGGCUCAGCGGUUGAGCAGACUUCUGCCUUCAUUCAGCUCAGGGCAUGAUCCCAGGGUCCUGGGAUCAAGUCCCCACACUGGGCUCCCUG